rnacentral:rRNA from 1 species
UACGGAGGGUGCGAGCGUUGUCCGGAAUCACUGGGAGUAAAGGGCGCGUAGGCGGCGCGGGAAGUCCGUGGUGAAAGCCCGAGGCUCAACUUCGGGUCGGCCAUGGAUACUCCUGGGCUCGAGCACUGUAGAGGCAGGUGGAAUUCCGGGUGUAGCGGUGGAAUGCGUAGAGAUCCGGAAGAACACCGGUGGCGAAGGCGGCCUGCUGGGCAGUAGCUGACGCUGAGGCGCGACAGCGUGGGGAGCAAACAGG